GACGAACGCUGGCGGCGUGCUUAACACACGCAAGUCGAACGGAAAGGCCCUGCUUUUGUGGGGUGCUCGAGUGGCGAACGGGUGAGUAACACGUGAGUAACCUGCCCUUGACUUUGGGAUAACUUCAGGAAACUGGGGCUAAUACCGGAUAGGAGCUCCUGCUGCAUGGUGGGGGUUGGAAAGUUUCGGCGGUUGGGGAUGGACUCGCGGCUUAUCAGCUUGUUGGUGGGGUAGUGGCUUACCAAGGCUUUGACGGGUAGCCGGCCUGAGAGGGUGACCGGCCACAUUGGGACUGAGAUACGGCCCAGACUCCUACGGGAGGCAGCAGUGGGGAAUAUUGCACAAUGGGCGGAAGCCUGAUGCAGCAACGCCGCGUGCGGGAUGACGACCUUCGGGUUGUAAACCGCUUUCGCCUGUGACGAAGCGUGAGUGACGGUAAUGGGUAAAGAAGCACCGGCUAACUACGUG
rnacentral:rRNA from 1 species